rnacentral:rRNA from 1 species
UACGUAGGUGGCGAGCGUUGUCCGGAUUUAUUGGGCGUAAAGCGCCCGCAGGCGGCUCGAUAAGUUUCAGGUGAAAUCUCCUGGCUCAACUGGGAGGGGUCCUGGAAAACUGUCAGGCUUGAGGCAGGGAGAGGGAUGCGGAAUUCCCGGUGUAGUAGUGAAAUGCGUAGAUAUCGGGAGGAACACCAGUGGCGAAGGCGGCAUCCUGGCCCUGUCCUGACGCUCAGGGGCGAAAGCGUGGGGAGCAAACCGG